AUUGAACGCUGGCGGCAUGCUUUACACAUGCAAGUCGAACGGUAACAGGCCGCAAGGUGCUGACGAGUGGCGAACGGGUGAGUAAUGCAUCGGAACGUGCCCAGUCGUGGGGGAUAACUACUCGAAAGAGUAGCUAAUACCGCAUACGAUCUAUGGAUGAAAGCGGGGGACCUCAAGGCCUCGCGCGAUUGGAGCGGCCGAUGUCAGAUUAGGUAGUUGGUGGGGUAAAGGCUCACCAAGCCAACGAUCUGUAGCUGGUCUGAGAGGACGACCAGCCACACUGGGACUGAGACACGGCCCAGACUCCUACGGGAGGCAGCAGUGGGGAAUUUUGGACAAUGGGCGCAAGCCUGAUCCAGCAAUGCCGCGUGCAGGAAGAAGGCCUUCGGGUUGUAAACUGCUUUUGUACGGAACGAAACGGCUCUGGUUAAUACCCGGGGCUAAUGACGGUACCGUAAGAAUAAGCACCGGCUAACUACGUG
rnacentral:rRNA from 1 species